GGUUCAAUGGUCUAGUGGUUAUGAUUUCUGUCUCACAUUGCAGCUUGCUGAAGCUUGUAAGGACACAGAAGGUCUCCAGUUCGAUCCUGGAUUGAACCA